UCCACUGGAAUCUUACUUGCUGUACGUGAACUGGUAACUGUUUGGAACUGAGAUUAUGCACUCCAGUUACUUUACUAUACAUUUCUCACUUCUCUGUCUUUGCAGCGCAAGCAUUAUGUUUACGCUGUCAUGCCCCUAGAGAAUGACAGAUCGGAUGCAGCCAUUCACCAAAAUCAUGCUAAGACAGGCCCUUUCAGCAACAACAAAGACGAAGAAUGUUAUAUUGCAUGUAAGAAGUAUGUCCCUCCAGAUCAUAUAGUAUUUGUUGGACUUGCUUUUCAGAAGCUAGAAGUAAGUGGACAUGUAGCAUCAUAUUUCAGGAAAUACCACUGUUUACCAUAAUACCAGUUAAGGAAGCACAAAACUUAAUGUUUGUAGGUGAAUCAUUUUUAAUCAUAGACGAUGAAAAAUCCUAUCAGAGAAUUUUCAGGUUUACCUCUUUCCUUCUGUAUUUUUAUUCACUACUGGAGCAAUAAAAAAAAUUUAACAGUUUUUUCACAAAUUCCAUAUUCUGAAGCACGUAUAACUAGAGUUGGCUCAAAACCGACAGGAAUUCUCUGAAGUUUGGUUUUCAUAAACAGAUGAAAUCUUUGUGUCAAUGACACAAAAAUCUUAAGAGUCAUCGUAAGCAGAAUCAAGGUUUGGAGAUUACGCUUGUUGCAAAAUAUAUGGAGUGCAUGAAUUCUUAAAAAGAGUCUGCAUCUGUCUAAACAAAAAGGCUCGUUACCUUGCUAGGCCUGCGCCUUAGCAAGUCCUGUAUCUGUUAAGUGAAUUAUUUAAUUAAUAAAAGGAUUCUGGGAUAGGA